rnacentral:rRNA from 1 species
UACGAAGGGGGCUAGCGUUGCUCGGAUUUACUGGGCGGAAAGGGCGCGUAGGCGGACAGUUUAGUCAGAGGUGAAAGCCCAGGGCUCAACCUUGGAAUUGCCUUUGAUACUGGCUGUCUUGAGUACGGGAGAGGUGAGUGGAACUCCGAGUGUAGAGGUGAAAUUCGUAGAUAUUCGGAAGAACACCAGUGGCGAAGGCGACUCACUGGCCCGUUACUGACGCUGAGGCGCGAAAGCGUGGGGAGCAAACAGG